UAGGCAGCAGUGGGGAAUAUUGGGCAAUGGGCGCAAGCCUGACCCAGCGACGCCGCGUGAGGGAAGAAGGCCCUUGGGUCGUAAACCUCUGUUGUAUGGGAAGAAGGACGUGACGGUACCAUACGAGGAAGUCCCGGCUAACUACGUGCCAGCAGCCGCGGUAA
rnacentral:rRNA from 1 species